rnacentral:tRNA from 1 species
AAAGAUUUAGUUUAUAUAAAAUUUAAAACAUUAACUUGUCAAGUUAAAAUAAUUAAUGUUAAUAAUCUUUA